CGCGUAGGCGGUCUAUUAAGUCUGAUGUGAAAGGUACCGGCUCAACCGGUGAAGUGCAUUGGAAACUGGUAGACUUGAGUAUUGGAGAGGCAAGUGGAAUUCCUAGUGUAGCGGUGAAAUGCGUAGAUAUUAGGAGGAACACCAGUGGCGAAGGCGGCUUGCUGGACAAAUACUGACGCUGAGGAGCGAAAGCGUGGGGAGCGAACA
rnacentral:rRNA from 1 species